UCAGUUUUCCUCGCACCCCAAACCGCUUCACGCCUCGCAUCGGCGAAACCUUCAAAAACACGCGGUCACCCACCGCGAACUCCAAAUCUCGCCGGCGUCUAUCCGCAUAGCUUUGCUGUCUCGACUGCGCCGUGAGCAAUCUUUUGCGAGCAAGGCGGACUUUCUCUCCCGCUUCUCGCAACACAUCGGGGCCGAACUCCGCACGCUCACCUACAUCGCUCCAGUGUAUAGGAGAUCGACAUGUCCGUCCAUAGAGAGCCUCAAACGGUGCCAUCUCCACACUAGCAUGAUAACUAUUGUUGUAGGCGAACUCGGCCAUCGGUAGGUGGUCACACCAACUUCCUUUAUAGUCAAUGACACACGCUCGCAACAUAUCCUCCAGAGUUUGAAUAGUCCUCUCUGUUUGCCCAUCAGUCUGAGGAUGAAACGCUGAGCUAAAAUCGAGCCGUGUGCCAAGGGCUUCCUGCAGGCUCUUCCAGAAAUGCGAAGUGAACCGGGGGUCACGAUCCGACACGAUCGAUUUCGGCACCCCAUGCAGUCUCACUAUCUCGUCAAGGUACACCUGCGCUAACUUGUCACCCGACCACGUGGUGUGAAUCGGCAAGAAAUGAGCCGACUUCGUCAAUCGGUCCACAAUUACCCAAAUUGCAUCGUGGCCGCCCUUUGAGCGGGGUAAGCCGACCACGAAGUCCAUCGAGAUAUCCUCCCAUUUCCAAACGGGGAUUGGUAGACUUUGAAGCUUUCCCGCUGGGAAUCGAUGCUCGGCCUUCACCUGUUGGCAGGCUAGGCACUUUGCCACAAAGCGUCCAAUGUCGCCUUUCAUUCCCGGCCACCAAUAGUGCAUUUUUAGGCCUUGAUACAUCUUGGUGCCGCCCGGGUGGCCAGCAUACGGGGACCAAUGCGACUCCUGUAAUAUAAGCUUGCGAAGCUCUUCAUCAGCGGGUACACACCUACGGUUCCGAAACCGAAGCGUACCAUCGGCGUCAACAUUGAACUCGCCACCAUGACCUUCCUCGAUGUUUCGCCGCACCUUUUGGAGUUCUGGGUCCGCAAGUUGCAGAUCUUUAAUCCUCUCCAACAAGGUCGGUUGGACAACGAGUGCCAUUAACUGAGUCGGGACCUCGGGAGCAACCACUUCUAGGUCCAAUCGCUCCAUAUCCAACCCUAGGGGUUUCUGCCGGGUAACAUCGAAAGCAAGGUUCUUUACCGUCUUCCUACUCAGCGCAUCAGCGACCACAUUGGCUUUCCCGGGGUGGUAAAGGAUAUCAACAUCAUAAUCCUUAAGCAAUUCCAACCACCGCCGCUGUCGCAUAUUGAGCUCUUUCUGUGUGAACAGAUACUUCAAGCUUUUAUGGUCGGUGUAGAUCUCGCAAUGAGCACCAUAUAGAUAAUGUCUCCAAAGCUUCAAGGCAAAGAUCACCGCCGCCAACUCUAGAUCAUGAAUGGGGUAGUUCUUUUCAUAGCCUUUCAACUGACGGGAUGCAUAAGCAAUAACCUUCCCGCCCUGCAUCAGCACACACCCCAAGCCCAAAUAAGAAGCAUCACUGUAGACGACAUAGUCCUGUCCUUGCACCGGUAAAGCGAGUACCGGAGUCGAAGUUAACCUUUGCUUCAACUCUUUAAAGCUCCGGUCACACUCGUCGCUCCAAACAAACUUGAUGCCUUUUUGGGUCAAACGGGUAAGUGGAGUCACAAUCUUCGAGAACCCCUCCACAAACCGUCGAUAAUAACCGGCUAGGCCCACAAAACUACGGACCUCGGUAACAUUCGUCGGGCGCGGCCAAUUCUCAAUAGCCUCUACUUUCUUCGGGUCAACAGAAACUCCACCCUCAGAAAUAACAUGCCCGAGAAAUGCAACUUCCCUAAGCCAAAAGUCGCAUUUCUUUAACUUUGCGUACAACUUCUUCUCCCGAAGGAUUUGAAGUACCGUGCGCAAAUGCUCCGCGUGCUCCUCGUCGCUACGCGAAUAUACCAAAAUGUCGUCUAUGAAGACUACGACAAAUCGGUCCAAGCACUCCUGGAACACUCGGUUCAUCAAGCUCAUGAACGCUGCCGGGGCAUUUGUGAGCCCAAACGGCAUCACCGUGAACUCGUAGUGUCCAUAACGCGUGCGAAACGCCGUCUUCUGAACAUCUUCCGGCUUGAUCUUUAACUGGUGAUAGCCAGACUGAAGGUCAAUCUUAGAAUACACUCGCGACCCCUGCAACUGAUCAAACAAGUCAUCGAUACGGGGUAGCGGGUACUUGUUCUUCACCGUGACCUUGUUCAACUCGCGGUAAUCCACGCAAAGUCGAAAAGAUCCAUCUUUCUUGCGCACAAAUAAUACCGGGGCACCCCACGGCGAAACGCUCGGCCUAAUGAAUUCCUUGUCGAGAAGAUCCUGCAAUUGAUCUCUCAACUCCCUUAGCUCGGCCGGCGCCAUGCGAUACGGGGCCUUAGAAAUCGGCGCGGUGCCGGGUACCAAGUCAAUCAUGAACUCGAUCUCCCGGUCCGGCGGCAUACCCGGUAACUCCGCGGGAAACACAUCGGGGAACUCCCGCACAACCGCCAACUCCUCGAGGAUUGGAACCGCUCGGUCAAUCUCUACAACGGUCGCCAAAUAAGCCAUGCAACCGCUGUUCACCAGCUUCCUCGCUCUAGUCGCCGAUACCAUCGCGGCGAAGCAUGAGCUCUUGCAAGCUCGAUAGGUGAACUCCUCAUGACCCGGCUCCCGAAAUGUAAUAACUCGAGUCGGGCAAUCGAUCGAUACAUAAUACUUCGAGAGCCAAUCCAUGCCCAAUAUGACAUCGAACUCUUUCAGCUUCUUAAGCACCAACAAGUCGAUCGGCAUGACCCAGUCAUUCACUUGCACUGGACAUGCCAAACAUCGCUUCCUAACCAAGAAGGAUCGCCCGGGGCCCUCAACAUGCCAAACGUGCUCCCCAAGACGAUACUCAAUAUCAUGCGCUCGUGCAAAUGAUCGACUAAUGAACGAAUGUGAAGCGCCUGUAUCAAAUAAAGCACUAGCUCGAACAUCUUUAAUCAAAAUUAUACCUGCCACAACAUUGCGCUCGCCGGCCUCUGAAGGCUCCUCAAUGUGAACGGGAGCGGCAUACAUCCUCCCGCUCGGUGCUGAUCGUGCAGGCUCUUGUUGGCGUGGCAUCGCCGCUCGCCCAGAAGAUGCUGCAGGAGGGGGCAAAGCAUAACGAGCUGGAACCGCCGGGGCCGAUGCAGUCGACAUAGCGGGCGAAGCUCCUCCCUGAGAACAGUCGCGAAUCUGAUGUCCCGCUUGCCCGCACUUGAAGCACCUCCCUCGGCGCUGCUCACAAACGCCCGGCCGAUGGCCUCCGCCGCAGAAGACGCAUCGAUGAGCACCUCGACCCUUGGGCUGAGAGCGUGGAUACUUCGGGGGCCACCUGGAGCUCGACUGGCCGCCCGAUCCACCGCCCUGCCUUUUCUUGCUUUUGUCCUUGUCGUACAACUCACGGUCCUCACGCUCGCAAGCGUUCCCGUGCUCGACCCAUAGGGCGCGAUCUAGUGCUGCCGCCAGUGUAGGGAACUUGAAGGCAUGCACCAACUUGAACACUCCGGGCCGAAGCCCUCGAACAAAACAAUCCGCCCGGUCCUGCUCGGUCGUCGCCACGUCCGGGACGCAGCUCAGGAGAUGGGUGAACUCCCGCUCGUACUCCCGAACCGUGCGAUUGCCUUGCUUGAGCUUGCGAAAGUCUUCCCGCAUCCUUCUCUUGUCGCUGUCGGGGAAGUACUCGGCGAACAUCAGCUUGCGGAACUCCGCCCAAUCAAUCGGGGGAAGCUCCGGGGAUCGGUCCUGCUUGACUCUCCUCCACCAAGUCCUGGCCCGCUUCUCGAAGCAAUGCGCGGCCAAGUUCACCUUGUCCCUCUCCAAGGUGAAAAUGUCCUCAAAUAGAGUCUCCAUAGCUGCCAGCCAAGACUCCACUGCAGCUGGAUCCACCACCUCUCCGUCGAAAGUAGGCGGGCGAAACUUCGUGAAUCUCGUGAGCGCCACAUAGCCACGCUCACGCUCCGCCUCCUCAGCCACCAUCGCGGGGGUAGGAGAACUCGAACUAGCCGGAGGAAUAUCCACCGGUGGGGGUUGCGCCGCCACCGGAACCGAAACGCCACCCGCACCCUCGGCCGCAUCAGGGACACGCGCCGCAGGCGCAGGCGGACCGCGGUCUAGAUCCGCUGCCGCAGCCGCCGCCGCAGCCUGCUGCUCCAACAGCUCCUGAAUCCUAUCGAACCGUCCUGUGAGCGUCGCGACUUGCGCUCGCAACUCCUGCACCUCAGUAGGCCCAGCUGGCACUGGCGCCACUGGAGGCACGGCUGGCCCGGGCACCUCUUGAGGUGGUGCCGGAGCGGUCCUACGCACGUAGCGUCUCUUUGGUGCCAUAGCUCCUGAAACGCAAACAGUUGGUUAAUUACUUAACCCAACAACAUCGUCGUAAACACGAAACAUAACGGUUAAAGAACAUCAAUCAGGCGGUAAGCUUGCAAGUGUCUUAAUUCUCGACUCUCGGCAUCGUGUUGUCGGCCGCCAACACAAUCACCUUAAGCCAAAAAUUAAUACCACUUGAAUCAUCUCUAGCCAUAACUAGAGUAACAACACCAACUCCAAACCCAAUCAAUUAGCUUCCGCCGCGUCAUAGGUUCACGUCGCACUCACGCACCUAUAACCUUAGGGUUAACCAACCUAGAGUCUCCUAGGUCAUCCUAGACUCUCUCUUUUGCUUGCUCUUAACUCGCUCUGAUACCACUUAACUGUCACGCCCCAACCGCGCGGCCCGAAAACGGUACCAAUUUGGUCCGGUUCGAGGGCGGCGGCGCGACCGCCGAACGGACGGAGUUUCCCCUGUCCGCCCAAGGCUAAGCAACAGAUUGUGUACAACAAGUCCCCAGGAAUACAACUUGAAUACAUACACAAUCAAACAACGAUAAACGAGAGCACAAACAGUGCUACAACCAACUAGAGCAAGCGAUACAAGUAAAACCAUACAAGUAUACAAAAGAGAGAAACUUAGCUAAUUGAGACAUCAUUGAAACGUUUAAACCUCUUUUAACAUCAUUUAAACUUUAAACUUUGAUACAACUUGCAUUCUUUAUCCAAAAUGAAUAUACAUCAUAAGCUCUCCAAAACCUCACCCUAUACAACAUCUACUCUCAAAAUGUAUAACCAAAAGUACAGGGUAGAGCUAAUGCAAGUAGGGAAGGUAAAGCUAUCAACCAACUGCUAGGGCGCUAUGCCCUUGCCGCGAUCCAUCGACGAAGGCCCGCUGUCCUGUGUACCUGUACCCCCAAAGCCACACGGGGGUGAGAACUACGAAUAGUUCCCAGUGGGUUCGGCCGCCGACUCCGCCGAUCUACCCACUAGGUCUCAAGUAGGCAUAGAGAGAUAUAUAUGCAAUAUAUAUAUAAAACUAAGCUGAACGGAAAGCGGGUAUGUAAACAACUAUAUCAAGCUAUGCCUCAAUCUGGAAUCAUGAAUGCAUGAACAAUAAACAAAGCUGGGUAAGUAAGCAACUAUCAACAUCUACAACAGCUAUCAUAGUAACUAUAAAACAUGCUACUAGGUAAGCAAGUAAGCUGAUAUGAACAAUGAAUAGCUACUAUGAACAUCAAUCAUGGGUAAGACUCAAUGGGUAACCCAAUCCUCGAGUGAACGCAAGGUUCACAAGCAAGGCUCACAUAUCAAUCUCCGAGGGAUGCCUAGCUGGUCGAUCCCCGAGUAUGCCUGCGGAUAACAAGCGGCUAUCCGAGCAGCGAGCAGGGCUGCCUCUCUAGUGACCAAACUCCGGAGCGCACAACUUGAGGGGAGCGACCCCACCAAACGCAGACAGGCAAUGUGAGCAAGAUCAUCUCACGAGCAACAACAAUAACCCUUUGAGGGUAAUAUCAUCAUGAAAGCAAUGUAUACUUGUACCCAAUCUCAUAGUGUCUCGACUACACUAAAGUUCUCAUAUCAAGGUAAUCAACAAUCAUAUGCCACUCAUCAUAGUUUUCUAACUAGGUGCCACUCAUCAAUUUUGACUCAUUAUCAACACUAGUUUCAUCAUACUAGUUCUUUAGCAACAUAAGCAUUGAUCCUCUCAUAUAGGGUUAAAUCUCAUCAUAUAGUUUUCAUCAUACAACCAUCAUGCAUACUAGAUCAUGAACCAACCAAGCAAAAUAUAUUGAGCUACUAGCAUGCAAGUAUAAGCAUCAAUAAUCAUUUUCUAACCCUAUAUGUUUAUACACAAUAUGCAAAUAGAUCAAUUUAAACUUAGACAUAGAAGGUGGCCCGAUGACUUCGGUAUGGCACUCCCCCACCUUUGGCGAUGCCAAAAACACUCCGAGACGCGUUCUCGUGUUAGUCUUGUCGCCGCUUAAUUUUCGUUGGGUUAGCUUUAACCCUUUAGCACAUCAAAUGGCGAUAUCUUCACGCUCGAUCCUCGAAUCGACGAACCGUCUUCGCCUACGCGUUUAUAAGCAUGGAAAUUAGGUUUCUAACCCCUCAAAAGAGAUCAAACCCUUAUAUUUCCAAAAAUCCCAAAUCUAACCCUAGGUGUAGCAACAAUAGAGAAAUCAUGGUUUCAAGCUCCAAAUUUGGGAUUGAACCUUCUCUUAAGCUCCAAUGGUUUACAUUUGAACCAUCCUUAAGCAACAAAACCCUUUUUAAAACCUAGGUUUAGCAAUAAUGAGGAAAACCAUGGGUGCUAGCCUCAUUGUGAGCUAGAUCCAUCAUCUCUAAACUCAUUAGGUUCCAUUUGAACCAAUUAAAGCAACAAAAACCUCCCAAACCCUAGAAAUCCAAAACUAGGGUUAGAGCUUACCUCAAGGGUUUGCUCCAAAGCAAGCCCUAGCUUGAAAACGUGGAGGAGGAGAGCUUCUUGAUCUUUUCCUCCCUUUCUCUCCUUCUCUUCUUCUUCUUUCUUCCUCUCUUCUUCUUCUCCUUCUUUUCUCCUUCACCCGGUUAGAGAGAGAGAGAGAGCUAGAGAGAGAGAAAGGCUGUGGGAGUGAGAGAGAAGAGAGCUGAGUGUGAGAGGAAUAAGUCCUCUAUUGUAACAAAAUGCUAAAAAGCUCUCCUUUUAUCAGAUUUUGCAACUUAACCCGCUGCCUGCGCGCCCUUGUACCGGUACACGGGACCUUGUACCGGUACAAGGCCCUAAACCGAGCGCAAACCGAGCGUCGGGUUUCUCUGUUUCGCAGAGCUUGUACCGGUACAAGCCAGCCUUGUACCGGUACAGCGCCUGAAGCCUUCGAACCCGAGAGCUACGCAGCCUGGCUGCGAUGGUUGUACCGGUACAACCAUCACCCUUGUACCGGUACAGAAGCUCCAGAAUGCUGUUUUUCGAUCUGCUUCGAUUCCUUUUCGCGUCCAACAACGCUAAAGCUAUUCCAACACUUUUGGAACUCAUUUUUACUCUUCCUAACAUGUCGAAAUACCGAAUGGAACUUGUCCAAGCAUCCGAUUGCUCACUUUGGUCCAUUUGGCCAAAGUUAGCCAAUAUCGUCGAAUUUCGAUAUCUUACAUUCUCCACCCCUUAAAAGGAGUUUCGUCCUCGAAACAACUCAACUCUUAACUUGAACUUAAACGCUUACCUCAAUCCUCGAACAGGUGAGGAUGGUUCGCUUUCAUCUGAUCCUCAAGCUCCCAAGUGGCUUCACGAUCAUCGUGAUUGCUCCACCGAACUUUAACAUAGGGAAUUUCUCGAUUCCUUAACUUACGCACCUCUCGAGCCAAAAUCUCUACCGGAAACUCUUCAUAGCUCAAAUCGUCUUGAAGCUCCGGUGGCUCAUAUAGCAUGGCAUGCUCGGGGUCGUGAAUAUACUUGCGAAGGUUGGAGACGUGGAACACAUUGUGCACACCCGCAAGCUUCGGGGGCAAUGCAAGUCGAUACGCCACCGUCCCAACUCGCUCCAAGAUCUCGUAGGGCCCGAUAUAACGAGGACUUAGCUUUCCUCGUACCCCAAACCUUUUCACGCCUCGCAUCGGUGAAACCUUUAAGAAUACGCGGUCACCCACCGCGAACUCCAAAUCUCGCCGGCGCCUAUCCGCAUAGCUUUGCUGUCUCGACUGCGCCGUGAGCAAUCUUUUGCGAGCAAGGCGGACUUUCUCCUCCGCUUCUCGCAACACAUCCGGGCCGAACUCCGUACGCUCACCUACAUCACUCCAAUGUAUAGGAGAUCGGCAUACCCGUCCAUAGAGGGCCUCGAACGGUGCCAUUCCCACACUAGUAUGAUAACUAUUGUUGUAGGCGAACUCGGCCAUCGGUAGGUGAUCACACCAAUUUCCUUUAUAGUCAAUGACACACGCUCGCAACAUAUCCUCCAGAGUUUGAAUAGUCCUCUCUGUUUGCCCAUCAGUCUGAGGAUGAAACGCUGAGCUAAAAUCGAGCCGUGUGCCAAGGGCUUCCUGCAGGCUCUUCCAGAAAUGCGAAGUGAACCGGGGGUCACGAUCCGACACGAUCGAUUUCGGCACCCCAUGCAGUCUCACUAUCUCGUCAAGGUACACCUGCGCUAACUUGUCACCCGACCACGUGGUGUGAAUCGGCAAGAAAUGAGCCGACUUCGUCAAUCGGUCCACAAUUACCCAAAUUGCAUCGUGGCCGCCCUUUGAGCGGGGUAAGCCGACCACGAAGUCCAUCGAGAUAUCCUCCCAUUUCCAAACGGGGAUUGGUAGACUUUGAAGCUUUCCCGCUGGGAAUCGAUGCUCGGCCUUCACCUGUUGGCAGGCUAGGCACUUUGCCACAAAGCGUCCAAUGUCGCCUUUCAUUCCCGGCCACCAAUAGUGCAUUUUUAGGCCUUGAUACAUCUUGGUGCCGCCCGGGUGGCCAGCAUACGGGGACCAAUGCGACUCCUGUAAUAUAAGCUUGCGAAGCUCUUCAUCAGCGGGUACACACCUACGGUUCCGAAACCGAAGCGUACCAUCGGCGUCAACAUUGAACUCGCCACCAUGACCUUCCUCGAUGUUUCGCCGCACCUUUUGGAGUUCUGGGUCCGCAAGUUGCAGAUCUUUAAUCCUCUCCAACAAGGUCGGUUGGACAACGAGUGCCAUUAACUGAGUCGGGACCUCGGGAGCAACCACUUCUAGGUCCAAUCGCUCCAUAUCCAACCCUAGGGGUUUCUGCCGGGUAACAUCGAAAGCAAGGUUCUUUACCGUCUUCCUACUCAGCGCAUCAGCGACCACAUUGGCUUUCCCGGGGUGGUAAAGGAUAUCAACAUCAUAAUCCUUAAGCAAUUCCAACCACCGCCGCUGUCGCAUAUUGAGCUCUUUCUGUGUGAACAGAUACUUCAAGCUUUUAUGGUCGGUGUAGAUCUCGCAAUGAGCACCAUAUAGAUAAUGUCUCCAAAGCUUCAAGGCAAAGAUCACCGCCGCCAACUCUAGAUCAUGAAUGGGGUAGUUCUUUUCAUAGCCUUUCAACUGACGGGAUGCAUAAGCAAUAACCUUCCCGCCCUGCAUCAGCACACACCCCAAGCCCAAAUAAGAAGCAUCACUGUAG
rnacentral:lncRNA from 1 species